rnacentral:misc_RNA from 1 species
AAAUGCGAUAACUAGUGUGAAUUGCAGAAUUCCGUGAAUCAUCGAGUCUUUGAACGCACAUUGCGCCCCCUGGUAUUCCGGGGGGCAUGCCUGCCCGAGCGUCAUUGCUGCCCAUCAAGCACGGCUUGUGUGUUGGGUCGUCGUCCCCUCUCCGGGGGGGACGGGCCCCAAAGGCAGCGGCUGCACCGCGUCCGAUCCUCGAGCGUAUGGGGCUUUGUCACCCGCUCUGUAGGCCCGGCCGGCGCUUGCCGAACGCAAAUCAAUCUUUUUCCAGGUUGACCUCGGAUCAGGUAGGGAUACCCGCUGAACUUAAGC